ensembl:miRNA
GUUACCUGGUAGUGAGUUAGAGAUGCAAAGCCCUGGGCUCCUCAGCAAACCUACUGGAUCUGCAUUUUAAUUCACAUGCAUGGUAAU